CCAGACAAUAGCGCCCACCAGGGGGAUAAGCCAGUUUGUGAUUGGUCGCCGCAAAAAUUGUAACGGAAGAAGGAUAGAUAAAUGUACAGGUUUCCAGCCUGAGUUGCAGGGCAAGAUCGAA